CCUACGGGCGGCAGCAGUGGGGAAUAUUGCACAAUGGGGGAAACCCUGAUGCAGCGACGCCGCGUGAGUGAUGACUUAUUUCUGUAUUUAAAGCUCUAUCAGCAGGGGAGUAAUAGCAACCUUGGGGUCGCCAGACGGUACCUUAUUAAAAAACCCCUGCUAACUACGUGCCAGCAGCCGCGGUAAUACGUGGGGGGCAAGCGUUAUCCGGAUUUACUGGGGGUAAAGGGAGCGUAGAGGGGAGCGCAAGUCUGAAGUGAAAUGCCGGGGCUUAACCCCGGAACUGCUAUGGACACUGUGCAGCUAGAGUGCAGGAGAGGUAAGUGGAAUUCGUAGUGUAGCGGUGAAAUGCGUAGAUAUCAGGAGGAACACCAGUGGCGAAGGCGGCUUACUGGACUGUAACUGACGUUGAGGCUCGAAAGCGUGGGGAGCAAACAGGAUUAGAUACCCUUGUAGUC
rnacentral:rRNA from 1 species